rnacentral:rRNA from 1 species
AACGAACGCUGGCGGCAUGCCUAACACAUGCAAGUCGAACGAGACCUUCGGGUCUAGUGGCGCACGGGUGCGUAACGCGUGGGAACCUGCCCUUAGGUUCGGAAUAACUCCCCGAAAGGGGUGCUAAUACCGGAUAAUGUCUUCGGACCAAAGAUUUAUCGCCUUUGGAUGGGCCCGCGUUGGAUUAGCUAUUUGGUAGGGUAAAAGCCUACCAAGGCGAAGAUCCAUAGCUGGUCUGAGAGGAUGAUCAGCCACACUGGGACUGAGACACGGCCCAGACUCCUACGGGAGGGAGGAAUGGGGAAUAUUGGACGAUGGGCGAAAGCCUGAUCCAGCAAUGCCGCGUGAGUGAUGAAGGCCUUAGGGUUGUAAAGCUCUUUUACCCGGGAUGAUAAUGACAGUACCGGGAGAAUAAGCGCCGGCUAACUACGUG